CGACAACAAAACAAAACCGCUAACUCAUCAGCGAUGAUUUUAAUGGCCUCUCAUCUCCUAUUGAUGAUCCUCUUUUAAAAAGCUCCGAAACCUUCUCUUUCACAAUCUAAUCGACAAACCAAAAUAUCUCCCAAAAACUUCUGAAAUCUAAUAUAGCUUCAAAAGAUCUUCAGGCAUCAGGAGAACUGACUCAUUACCAUAGAGGUGAACCUGCCCUGCGGAUUAAUUUUAGUGGGCUCUAAAUGUAUACUUCAAUAACUUUACCGAAGUCAACCUUGAUUUGGAGCUAACAAGAAGCCGGAGAAUAGCUCCCAGUAGCUGUACCAGCCAAUAGCACAAAUUAUUGCACGAACCAAUGAAAAUGGAGUCUGCAAAAGAACCCCUUAAUUCAUGAUGGUGGUCUUGGAGGGGAAAUGGAUUAUAAACAUAUAUUGGAUAAAGGCAUGUAUGAAAAACACAGAAUGUGUAACCGAGCCAUACAGAUUUCCAUAGAUGUUCAUGGAACACGACAAGGACCUUAUAUUGGAAAACUGAGCUUUGAACAAGAAACCAACUUUUAAUAGACUGAAAUUUUACAUUAUGCUUCAUUUUGCGGCAUGUGACUGUAGCAGCAGGAGGAGCAUAAUCAAGUGAAAGUUCUCAGGUGUUUCAACUCAGUAAGUAUUUACCUAUAAACCAACACAGUUCAUUUCUUACUGUUUUGCAACCACUAUUUUACUAUUUAGGCUCUCACUGUUCUACUCUAGUUCAACCUUAAGCUACCAUCGACUCUUUAAAAAAAAGGAAGAAGUAGUAGUUACUUUUGAUCGGAAUAAUCAUGAGCGUACCUGGAAGUAUAGUGGAUUUUAUCCUUUUGUAUUAAGGUUGCUCCUACAAUUCCCAUGAGCUUUAUGUGAGGAAGGAUACGCAUCUUCUUUGCGUUUUAUUGAGAUGUACGAGAGAGCAUUAUGAAACUAUUUUGUGAAAAGACAAAAUAUUAUGUUGUGUCCAUAUACAAACAAAUAACCUAAACGUUUGCCGAUUACAUAAUAGUGGCUUUGUUUGCAAGUUUUUUUUUUUGAACAACUGUUUGAAAGUAUUAUAUUACAAAAAUUGUAAUAAUACUAAAGACCGCAAGGAGAAAACACUUUUAGUAUUGUUUUUUUA